rnacentral:rRNA from 1 species
AACGAACGCUGGCGGCAUGCCUAACACAUGCAAGUCGAACGAGACCUUCGGGCCUUGUGGCGCACGUCUGCGUACCGCGUGGGAACCUGCCCUUAGGUUAGCAAUACCUCCCCGAAAGGUGUGCUAAUACAGGUUAAUGUCAUCGGACAUAGGAUUUAUCGCCUUUGGAUGGGGCCGGGUUGGAUUCGCCGGUUGGUAGUGUAAAAGCCUACCAACGGGACGAUCCUUAGCUGGUCGGAGAGGAGGAUCAGCCACACUGGGACUGAGACACGGCCCAGACUCGGAGGCGAGGGAGCAGAGGGGAACAUAGGAGGAGGGGCGAAGGUCUGAUCCAGCAAUGCCGCGGGAGAGAUGAAGGCCUUAGGGUUGUAAAGCUCUUUUACCCGAGAUGAUAAUGACAGUACCGGGAGAAUAAGCUCCGGCUAACUCCGUG